UUUCUGAUGUUUUCAGAAAUUUGGUGGAUUUGUUGUGAUUGGGCAGCGGCCAGACAACCGUAGAGAUGGAAUCCACGGAUCUUGAGUUUUUCUCUCUCAAUAUUCUACUAAUUCCAUCUUACAUUU